CAUCUACACACCUUGAAAACAUGGCUUGCUUGGCAAAUUCUACUUCUCCUGGAGACACUGCAAUCAUCUGGCCGGUGAGUGUUAACCGGACACAUCGGGGAUCCUCCGGGUCAACGAUGUUUUUUCUGCAUAACUCUCCUUCAG